AGCAGCCGCGGUAAUUCCAGCUCCAAUAGCGUAUAUUAAAGUUGUUGCAGUUAAAAAGCUCGUAGUUGAAUUUCGAGACCGGUUUACUGGUCGUGCUUUUGUACGUACUGGUAUUAUUGGUUUCUCCUUUCUGACGAAUCAUAAUGCCAUUAAUUUGGUGUUUUGGGGUAAGUCAGGACUGUUACUUUGAAAAAAUUAGAGUGUUUAAAGCAGGCUCACGCUUGAAUACAUUAGCAUGGAAUAACGAAAUAGGACGUUUGAUUUUAUUUUGUUGGUUUCUUAGGAUCGACGUAAUGAUUAAUAGGGAUAGUUGGGGGCAUUAGUAUUCAAUUGUCAGAGGUGAAAUUCUUGGAUUUAUUGAAGACUAACUACUGCGAAAGCAUUUGCCAAGGAUGUUUUCAUUAAUCAAGAACGAAAGUUAGGGGAUCGAAGACGAUCAGAUACCGUCGUAGUCUUAACCAUAAACUAUGCCGACUAGGGAUCGGAUGAUGUAAUUUUUAAUGACUCAUUCGGCGCCUUA
rnacentral:rRNA from 1 species